GUGGUUCGAAACGGCACAGGUGAAAGAAUCCCAUGCGCCUACAUUACCCCACCCCCCACUCCUGGACAGCUUUCCCCUCCCCAUCCCCUUCUCUUCCACAGACCCGGAGUGCGGCGGCUCUGCUCCGGCGAUCUGUCCAUCGACGGCCUCGAGAUCGAUGGGGGCCUUGCCGUGCCGGCUGGAAGGAGUGGUUCUGUCCUCCAAGUGGAGUCCCAGGAUUCCAUGGUUGCAGCAGAUGCGGCCGACAAAGCACAGGCAGACGGAGGUGCGGCCAUAUAGGAGGUGUGUUCUGAAGCUACGAGUGGCUGGACACGAAGGGAUAGGAUGGGGAAAGCUCCUGACGAGAGGGAGAUGAAGCCUGACAAGAAAACAGCACUGGAAUUGUCUGUGCGCGCUUAUGCUGAGAAAGGAGCUGGUCAUGUUGUCAAUCCAGCAAUUGGCACAUCUUUUGACUCGUUAGAUGAGGCUUAUGAGUUCUACAACCUUUAUUCCUGGGAAUGUGGUUUUGGAGUUCCGCUAUGUUGCUCGGAAAAGGUGCAUGCAAGAGAUUGUUUGUGAUUGUGCGGUAGGUGAUCGCAAAGUGCAUUAUGUUUGAUGCCAUAAUGUUUGAAGGACUGUUUGAGCCUAACUUCCUCUAGAUUAAAUUAGUUGUGACUUGUGAGGUUUGAUGCCAUCAUGUUUCCAUGUGUUUGUAUGCUGGUUUAGUUUCUCGAUUUGGGUUGUCAGAUUUUUUUAUUUUUUUUGCGGGGGUCGGAAUUUUCAUUUGUGCUACCAACAGUAAUUCUCUUGAUGUGUGUUAAAUUUGUCUGAACUGUUUGUUGUGUGUUGAUGGCAGUGUUGUUGUUUA